rnacentral:rRNA from 2 species
AUGUGACUGUGGAUCGAGCCCAUGUGAAGCCUCUUCGAUGAGUCGAGUUGUUUGGGAAUGCAGCUCAAAAUGGGUGGUAAAUUUCAUCUAAAGCUAAAUACUGGCUGGAGACCGAUAGCGCACAAGUAGAGUGAUCGAAAGAUGAAAAGCACUUUGGAAAGAGAGUCAAAAAGUACGUGAAAUUGUUGAAAGGGAAGCGCUUGCAACCAGACCUGUCCGUAGGUGAUCAGCCGCUGUUCUCAGUGGUGCACUCGCUCUGCGAUCAGGCCAGCAUCGGUUCGGGCGGUCGGAUAAAGGCCCUGGGAAUGUAGCUUCCUUCGGGGAGUCUUAUAGCCCUCGGUGCAAUGCGGCCAGCCGGGACCGAGGACCGCGCUUCGGCUAGGAUGCUGGCGUAAUGGUUGUAAGCGACCCGUCUUGAAACACGGACCAAGGAGUCUAACAUCUAUGCGAGUGUUUGGGUGUUAAACCCAUGCGCGGAAUGAAAGUGAACGGAGGUGAGACCCCUUAAGGGCGCAUCAUCGACCGAUCCAGAUGUCUUCGGAUGGAUUUGAGUAUGAGCAUAGCUGUUGGGACCCGAAAGAUGGUGAACUAUGCCUGAAUAGGGUGAAGCCAGAGGAAACUCUGGUGGAGGCUCGCAGCGGUUCUGACGUGCAAAUCGAUCGUCAAAUUUGGGUAUAGGGGCGAAAGACUAAUCGAACCAUCUAGU